rnacentral:rRNA from 1 species
UGGGGAAUUGUUCGCAAUGGGCGCAAGCCUGACGACGCAACGCCGCGUGGAGGAUGAAGACCUUCGGGUCGUAAACUCCUUUCGAUCGAGACGAAUGGCCUCCGGGUGAACAAUCCGGAGGAGUGACGGUACCCUCAAAGGAAGCACCGGCUAACUCUGUGCCAGCAGCCGCGGUAAUACAGAGGGUGCGAGCGUUGUCCGGAAUCACUGGGCGUAAAGGGCGCGUAGGCGGCCCGGUAAGUAGGGGGUGAAAUCUCAUGGCUCAACUGUGAGGCUGCCUUCUAGACUGCCAGGCUUGAGCACAGUAGAGGCGAGUGGAAUUCCCGGUGUAGCGGUGGAAUGCGUAGAGAUCGGGAAGAACAUCGGUGGCGAAGGCGGCUCGCUGGGCUGUUGCUGACGCUGAGGCGCGAAAGCGUGGGGAGCAAACAGGAUUAGAUACCCCGGUAGUCCCUGAGCGGGCUGGCAAGGCGCAU